GACGAACGCUGGCGGCGUGGAUUAGGCAUGCAAGUCGGACGGUAGGGCUUUAUCGUAAGAUAGAGUUUGAGAGUGGCGAACGGGUGAGUAACACGUAGGAAUCUACCCUUAAGACGGGGACAACCCAGGGAAACUUGGGCUAAUACCGGAUGAGAGUGCGAGAGAUUGCAUUUAAAAGGAUGGCGAAAGUUGUCGCUUAGGGAUGAGCCUGCGGUCUAUUAGUUAGUUGGUGAGGUAAGAGCUCACCAAGGCGAUGAUAGAUAGGCGGCCUUAACGGGUGGUCGCCCACACUGGGAUUGAGAUACGGCCCAGACUCCUACGGGAGGCAGCAGUCGAGAAUAGUCUACAAUGGCCGGAAGGCCUGAUAGUGCGAGCCGCGUGAACGAGGGAGCCCUUCGGGUGUAAAGUUCUUUUCUAUACGAGCAGUGCUAUAUAUAUGGAUAAGUAUAUAUAGAGGGAUAGUAGUAUAGGAAUAAGCAACGGCUAACUCCGUGCCUAGCAGCC
rnacentral:rRNA from 1 species